rnacentral:lncRNA from 1 species
UAUUAAAGAAUUAAAUGGAUGAAAUAUAAAGUUUUAUUAAAAGAAAAAGGGGUGAAAAGAACAAAGUUUUGUCCAUCUUUGUUCAUCAUAGCUGAAAGUUAGAGAAGAGAAAGGAGAGGAGAAAGCUCUUGAGUAUUUGGUCAUUAGGAGGAGGAAAAUUGAAGGUAAGUUCUUGGUACCUUGCUUCUAUUUUGAGGUUCAUGAGUUCUUCUUGAUUCUAUCUUAACUCUUGAAGUAUAUUUUGGUUUUUAGUUGUGUUGUGAGCAUUUAGUCAUGAAUUAAAAUGAAAGAAAUGGUUGUUGUUUCAUGUUCUUUUGAUGAAAAAAUGGAAGAUAGGUGAAGUUGAGCCAAACAAAUGAGCAUGCAUGUGCCUUAGAUGUUAAAGGGAAAAAUCGGCUAACAUGUUGUGCUUUAAAAUGAUGAAAUGGAGAUUAUACUUAAGUAAAAUCAUAGAUAUGUGAUGACUGAUUGGUGAUAUACAUGUUUAAAUAACAAGCAUGCAAGUUAGGUGUGAAAGAGUGAUUUGGUAAUAAAUCUGCUUGGGAUAGCAGCAGUAACGUGACUUUGGAAAAUCACCAUAAAUUGUAGGAGAUAAGUUAGAAGCUGAAUAAAUUAUGUAAUUAAAGCUUAUUGAGUCUAGUUUCUAAUGAAAUAAACAAGAACAUAUUUUGAAUUCUGUACAAUGAGAAAUUUGAUUCGUAAUGAAGAGUGGUCAGAUUAGUCAAACAGUGAAACAUGGGAAACUUUAAGAAAAAUAUGGUAUUGAUUGGCCAUACCAAAAAUUCUGAAAAUUUUAUGGAUAAAAGAUAUAUGAGUCUAUUUUCAGGGAAAAUUAACGGAACUUGAUUUGGAGUUUCGUAGCUCCAGUUAUAAAUAAUUUAGUGACUGUUGCUCAGGAAGACAGCUUGCAGUGAAAUUAUGAUUAUGUGGUAAACAUUGACAAAAAUUUGUUAAUCAGUUGCUUAUUGAUUUCUUAUAAGCUUACUAUGAUCUGUAGGUGUGGUUGGCCGAAUAUUGUAAGGGGUUAAUACGUAGUUUGUAUUUGAAUAGUUAGAUUAACGUGUUAGUAAUCCAAUUGUAGGCGGUUCGUGUGUGGAUCUCGUCAGCAUAUCGUCGCAAACAGGUGUCUAACUGACACCCUCUCAUAGACUAGAUUGGCAAAAGCCGAAAAGCCGAAAUGCCGAAAAGUCUGUAUUUUGGGAAUUUGCGAGUGUGCGAAUGCUCGUAAGAUAGUUGGGUUUGUAGAUUUGAUAAUCUAAAGUAAUAAACUGCAGUACGCGCGAUUUCGUACAUUUUGAUAAUUUGGGCUUAAUGGGCCAAAGAUCAGGUUCAUGGGCCAACGGGCCCAAUUCGGUAAGUAUGCGCGAUAAGUGUUCUGAUAGUACGUAAAUAGUUGGGAUAUGCAUGAAAACCCUAAAAGUAGCUAAAUUACUAUAAUACCCCUAUGUAUGGAAAAUUACUGUUAUACCCCUAGGUGCAAAAUUACCGUUAUACCCCUAGGGUUAAUUUUGACUAAAAAGCAUGAUGAUCUGAUUCUGUAUGAUGUAUGCCAUGAUUAUAUAUCUGUUGCAUGGGGACAUGGGUUAUAUUAUGGAGGAAGCGUUCUGGUGGCUAUGCCACAAAUAUCUGAUCUGGUGGCUCUGCCACAUAUAUCUGUUCUGGUGGCUCUGCCACGAUUAUCUGUAUUUGGUGACUCUGUCACAUUAUCUGUUCUGGCAGCCAUGCUGUAAAUUCUGUGGUGUAUAGUGGUUGGGUGGGUCGAGUUGUCUCCCCACACGGUGUAAGGUUGGUACGGGGGUGUAUACGGUUGGAUAUGGUUGGGUUUCUGCAUAAACAUGUAAUAUCUGUUCUGUUCUGUUAUGGGCCUAUGGGCUUUAUUCUGAAUUCUGUUCUGGGCUAAGGCCAACUUAUUAUGUUUCUGUGGGUUGAGCUGAUUUAGACUAUGGUUGGGUUAUUUUACACACUGAGUUUCCCCAAACUCACCCCUUUUAUUUUCAUCCACGCAGGAAAUCCCCAACCAUAGUGGGCUUGGAGCUGUGAGGGAAUUCGGAGUGGCAACCCGUUCUGAAAGUUUGAUUUUCUUCUGGUGAACUGGACAUCCUUUUAAUUACGUUUGAGGUUUUGGGCUUUUAAAUGUAAUAAGACCGCUUAUUUAUUUUUGAUGGUUUUUAAUAUGUAUUACUAAUAUAGGUAAUACUUAUUUUAACUGUUGAAAUUGGAUAGCUUUAGGGCGCGUUUUCAAAAACAACAGUUGAUUUCAAAAUAACACGACAACAUGCAAAGCUUCUGCAAUGAAAGUAUUUUCCAAGAUUAAUCACUUUUCCUAAAAAUGACUUAAUCAAAUCGGUUUCCUAGAAAUAUCCAUGACGUUAAAGUGUGGCAAUGGCGGUAUGCAUGUCUAGGAUUGGAUCCGAAAGGAGCUUGGUACUUAAGCAGUCCGAUGGACUCACCACCUCUUUUCCGGUUUCCUACCUGGUGCACAGCUUCCAUUCACUUUAACCUUUAAUGAAUUAAUCUUUUGAACAUCAAGUACGAUUUUCUAGACUUAGAAUGGAAUUUUUUUUUACGUUUUUGAUGUGGCAUGCCGGAUCUGGCCAUAACUUCUGGGCCGGGUUUGGGGUGCUACAUGAUAUGUAGUCCCGAUUCAAAUAUUCCAUCACAUAUUGAAAUUCAUAGAAAGCGAAGCUGAAGGCAAUGAGUGAAUUGUUCGAUGAUUGAGACAAAUCUUAGGAAUUGCAAAUAUAGAUAGCUGAGCUGAGGUAGUUUGUUCUGAAUACAAUGGUUGAACUGCAAACUCUCAAUGCAGGCAAUUCACCCAAGAAUAUAGUUCAAGUUAAAUGGAUAUUCUUGAUAAGUCUAAAUUAUAUAGACUUUUAUAAUACCUUUUUAAUUAGAAUUCAUGUAAAUCUCGAGCAUUUGAAUAACUAAUUAUGUAAUUUUGGUUCAUAUUGAGAUAUUGGGCAUAAUUUAUGCAAAAUUUGUAAUUUUACAUAAUUAAGAGUUAACUUUACGUAAUUUCAUUGAAUUAUACUACAUGAUCAUUUCUUUGUUAAAUUGUUGUAGUAUGAACCAUUAAUUUACUCAAUGUUGG